rnacentral:rRNA from 1 species
GUCUCUGCUCUUCGGGGCAGAGCGCAGUUAUUAGACCAAAACCAGCCGUAUUCUUCGGGGUACGCUCUUUUGGUGACUCUGGAUAACCUUCAGCCGAUCGCAUGGCCUCGUGCCGGCGACGUAUCUUUCAAGUGUCUGCCCUAUCAACUUUCGAUGGUACGUGAUAUGCCUACCAUGGUGAUAACGGGUAACGGGGAAUCAGGGUUCGAUUCCGGAGAGGGAGCCUGAGAAAUGGCUACCACAUCCAAGGAUGGCAGCAGGCGCGCAAAUUACCCACUCCCAGCUUGGGGAGGUAGUGACGAAAAAUAACAAUGCGGGACUCUAAGAGGCCCCGUAAUUGGAAUGAGUACACCUUAAAUCGUUUAACGAGUAUCAAUUGGAGGGCAAGUCUGGUGCCAGCAGCCGCGGUAAUUCCAGCUCCAAUAGCGUAUAUUAAAGUUGCUGCAGUUAAAAGCUCGCAGUUGGAUCUGGGGCUUGAGGUCGCUGUCUAUCGUUUCGGCGAUGACGGUGAUGCUCAGCUCUGCUUGCCGGUGACUGUUGCGGUGUUCUUCACUGAGCGCUGUAGCAGCACGGCACGUUUACUUUGAAAAAAUUAGAGUGCUCAAAGCGUGCUUGUCGCUUGAAUAAUGUUGCAUGGAAUAAUGGAAUAGGACCUCGGUUCCAUUUUGUUGGUUUUCGGAGCUUGAGGUAAUGAUUAAGAGGGACGAACGGGGGCAUUCGUAUUGCGGUGUUAGAGGUGAAAUUCUUGGAUCGCCGCAAGACGGACUACUGCGAAAGCAUUUGCCAAGAACGCUUUCAUUAAUUAAGAACGAAAGUCAGAGGUUCGAAGACGAUCAGACACCGUCCUAGUUCUGACCAUAAACGAUGCCGACCAGCGAUCCGUAGUGGUUGCUUUAUGGACCCUACGGGCAGCCUCCGGGAAACCAAAGUAUUUGGGUUCCGGGGGAAGUAUGGUUGCAAAGCUGAAACUUAAAGGAAUUGACGGAAGGGCACACCAGGAGUGGAGCCUGCGGCUUAAUUUGACCCAACUCGGGAAAACUCACCCGGUCCGGACACCGUAAGGAUUGACAGACUGAUAGCUCUUUCUUGAUUCGGUGGAUGGUGGUGCAUGGCCGUUCUUAGUUGGUGGAGUGAUUUGUCUGGUUAAUUCCGAUAACGAACGAGACUCUAGCCUGCUAAGUAGUGUUGCUAUUGC